UGGGGAAUAUUGCACAAUGGGGGGAACCCUGAUGCAGCAACGCCGCGUGAGUGAAGAAGUAUUUCGGUAUGUAAAGCUCUAUCAGCAGGGAAGAAAAUGACGGUACCUGACUAAGAAGCACCGGCUAAAUACGUGCCAGCAGCCGCGGUAAUACGUAUGGUGCAAGCGUUAUCCGGAUUUACUGGGUGUAAAGGGAGCGCAGGCGGUGCGGCAAGUCAGAUGUGAAAACCCGGGGCUCAACCCCGGGACUGCAUUUGAAACUGUCGGACUAGAGUGUCGGAGAGGUAAGUGGAAUUCCUAGUGUAGCGGUGAAAUGCGUAGAUAUUAGGAGGAACACCAGUGGCGAAGGCGGCUUACUGGACGAUAACUGACGCUGAGGCUCGAAAGCGUGGGGAGCAAACAGGAUUAGAUACC
rnacentral:rRNA from 1 species